UACAGAGGGGGCAAGCGUUAUUCGGAAUUAUUGGGCGUAAAGGGCGCGUAGGCGGCCUGGCAAGUGGAAGGUGAAAUCCCUCGGCUUAACCGAGGAACUGCCCUCCAAACUGCUUGGCUUGAGUCCGGGAGAGGUGAGUGGAAUUCCCAGUGUAGCGGUGAAAUGCGUAGAUAUUGGGAGGAACACCAGUGGCGAAAGCGGCUUCCUGGUCCAGCACCGACGUUCAGGCACGAAAGCGUGGGGAGCAAACAGG
rnacentral:rRNA from 1 species